UACGUAGGGGGCUAGCGUUGUCCGGAAUCAUUGGGCGUAAAGCGCGCGUAGGCGGCCCGGUAAGUCCGUUGUGAAAGUCAAAGGCUCAACCUUUGAAAGCCGAUGGAUACUGCCGGGCUAGAGUCCGGAAGAGGCGAGUGGAAUUCCUGGUGUAGCGGUGGAAUGCGCAGAUAUUAGGAGGAACACCGAUAGCGAAGGCAGCUCGCUGGGACGGUACUGACGCUAAGGCGCGAAGGUCAGGGGAGCAAACGGG
rnacentral:rRNA from 1 species